rnacentral:rRNA from 1 species
UACAGAGGUCCCAAGCGUUGUUCGGAUUCAUUGGGCGUAAAGGGUGUGUAGGUGGCGCCGUAAGUCGGGUGUGAAAUCUCGGGGCUUAACUCCGAAACUGCAUUCGAUACUGCGGUGCUUGAGGACCGGAGAGGAGACUGGAAUUCAUGGUGUAGCAGUGAAAUGCGUAGAGAUCAUGAGGAAGACCAGUGGCGAAGGCGGGUCUCUGGACAGUUCCUGACACUGAGACACGAAGGCCAGGGGAGCAAACGGG